UGAGGAAUAUUGGUCAAUGGGGGCAACCCUGAACCAGCCAAGUCGCGUGAAGGAUGAAGGUCUUAUGGAUUGUAAACUUCUUUUAUACAGGAAUAAAUUGGGGGACGUGUCCCCUUUUGCAUGUACUGUAUGAAUAAGGAUCGACUAACUCCGUGCCAGCAGCCGCGGUAAUACGGAGGAUCCGAGCGUUAUCCGGAUUUAUUGGGUUUAAAGGGUGCGCAGGCGGGAUGUUGAGUCGGCGGUGAAAUUUUGCAGCUCAACUGUAAAAGUGCCUUCGAUACUGGCCUCCUUGAGUGUGGAUGAAGUAGGCGGAAUUUGUGGUGUAGCGGUGAAAUGCUUAGAUAUCACGAGGAACUCCGAUUGCGCAGGCAACUUACUAAGCCACAACUGACGCUCAUGCACGAAGGCGUGGGGAUCAAACA
rnacentral:rRNA from 1 species